UAGUUGCAGUCUGUCUUUGGAAGCUGUAGAAAUAACAAGAAAGAGGCUGACAUAGUGUUUUGGUAGGGAAAAGUUUGAGUAUGUACAUGUACAGUUGUUUGACCUGUCUUAACCUGUGGCAGUCCGAUAAGAUGUUACCAUUAUGAAAAAUGCAGGAGAACUUGAAGACAAUGGUUAGUGCAGAAGGGACAUAAAAGUUAUGAUAAAAGUAACAUAUAUAAAUAAGAAGUGCUACAAGGGUGUUGUCAUGUGAAAUGGAAUUUACCCCAACUGUGCUGCAUGAUGUAUAUUCAAGUGCGAGACAGUCAUGUACCAGCUGUAAACUGAGAUGGACCCAUAUAAUAAAUAUGUUGAUUUUUCUAUGUAUUACCAUCUGUACAGAAUGUGUUCAUGACAAGACUGUAUACA
rnacentral:lncRNA from 1 species